GAUGAACGCUGGCGGCGUGCCUAAUACAUGCAAGUCGAGCGAACUGAUUAGAAGCUUGCUUCUAUGACGUUAGCGGCGGACGGGUGAGUAACACGUGGGCAACCUGCCUGUAAGACUGGGAUAACUUCGGGAAACCGAAGCUAAUACCGGAUAGGAUCUUCUCCUUCAUGGGAGAUGAUUGAAAGAUGGUUUCGGCUAUCACUUGCAGAUGGGCCCGCGGUGCAUUAGCUAGUUGGUGAGGUAACGGCUCACCGAGGCAACGAUGCAUAGCCGACCUGAGAGGGUGAUCGGCCACACUGGGUCUGAAACACGGCCCAGACUCCUACGGGAGGCAGCAGUAGGGAAUCUUCCGCAAUGGACGAAAGUCUGACGGAGCAACGCCGCGUGAGUGAUGAAGGCUUUCGGGUCGUAAAACUCUGUUGUUAGGGAAGAACAAGUACAAGAGUAACUGCUCGUACCUUGACGGUACCUAACCAGAAAGCCACGGCUAACUACGUGCCAGCCGCCGCAGUAACAC
rnacentral:rRNA from 1 species